AACAAAGGCAAGCUUUUUGGAUUCAGUAAAUGUCAGUUCUCACCCAGUUGGGCUGCACCAUCUGAAGCGCCAUCAUAGAUAUCCACAAAGUCACCACAUGAUUCUGGGACAAGGUUAAACGCUGUGAAUGUUAGCCGGACCUUUUCCCCAUCAGCUUAUAGUCUUCAUCUGUGUGCUGAGCUGGUUGUGACCCACCAGUUGAGAACUGCUGGACUAAAAUAUCCAGGGAAAUACAUCGCUUUUGCUUUAGGGAACAGAAAUGGUUUUUGCCAAAAUGAUGACCAGCCACUGCACAAGACUCACCAAUAAUGCCCAGUUCAUCCUUGAGAGUGAUAAAGUCGGCCUCACACGUAUUGGAGUCCUGUAUAGAGAAGUCUUCAAACC